UUUUAAACCCCUCAAACUUAGCGGGCAUCAGUAACCGCCGCUGGCUGGGCGGUGGACAAACAUUGGCAGGGUCCGAGUGAGAGAGAGAGACCAGACGGAGGUCGAGGCAGGUGCUGCCGCCAGGGCUGAUCCGAGAGCCGCUUUUAGAAGCAAAGUGCAGGCAGGCGACAGCCGGCGACCUACUUCGCUAAGCUAGAGCGCUGUCUAAGCUUUCCGGAGCUCCGCUCCGAAUCGGAGGCGAGCUGAGUCGGGCAGCGGGAGAAAGGCACCGCCUAGCGUACCGCCGUUGUCUCCCUCGCUCCGCUUUCGGCUGCACGCCGGAAAGUUACUUCUUGCUCGGCUCGGCCGCCCCUCUCGCUUCGCGUUCGGCGCCAGGGACUCGGAGCAGGCGCGCGGGCGGGCGAAACCCCCGUUCCCCUCCCCCCCACCUGCGCGGGGGUUCGCCAUCCCGCCGCACGCCCUGGCCCACGUAGCACAGGCUACUGGGCCCCAUGAAAAACCACGUGAGCAGCGGCGAGCAGCCGGGACUUAGCGGGGACGCCGAGCAGGUCAGCCCUCCGAACGGCGCCGAAGCAAUUGCGGCUUCCGAAGUGACCUCGGGCAUCGUCGGAGACGCGAGCAACGGCCCGCUCAUGCGCCCGCGGUCGCUACGAGCCGUGUAUGUGGCCCACGAGAACCCCAAAGGAAGCCCUGGGGCGCGGAGCCCCGAAGCUGGGGCGCUGCUGUGCUUGAUGAGAGCCUGCGAGGCCGCGGGAGCUCAGCUGACGACGGUCAACUUCGGAGAGCUGGACUUCGGCGAAACGGCCGUGCUAGACGUAUUCUACGACGCGGAUGUUGCAGUAGUGGAUAUGAGUGAUUUUUCCAGGCAACCAUCCCUCUUCUACCACCUUGGGGUACGUGAAAGCUUUGACAUGGCCAAUAAUGUUAUACUUUACCAUGACAUGGAUGCCGAUACUGCUCAGUCACUGAAGGACAUGGUAUCUCAGAAAAACACAGCUUCGAGUGGCAACUACCACUUCAUUCCAUACACUGUGUCAUCAUGCGAUUAUUAUUUUUGUUGUGAAAGCGAUGCCCAGCGGAGAGCAUCUGAGUACAUCCAACCUAAUUGGGACACCAUCCUAGGACCGCUCUGUGUUCCGCUAAUGGAGAAGUUUGUCAGCCUCCUCAAGGACAUCCAUAUCACGUCAUGUACAUAUUAUAAGGAAAGUCUGUUAAAUGACAUCAGAAAAGCUAGAGAGAAAUAUCAAGGAGAAGAACUUGCAAAAGAACUGGCUAGGAUUAAACUUCGUAUGGAUAAUACUGAAGUCCUGACUUCUGACAUUGUAAUCAAUUUACUCCUAUCAUAUAGAGAUAUCCAGGAUUAUGAUGCUAUGGUGAAACUGGUGGAGACACUGGAAAUGCUCCCAACUUGUGAUCUGGCUGAUCAGCACAAUAUCAAAUUUCACUAUGCCUUUGCACUGAAUCGAAGGAACAAUAUGGGUGACCGGGAAAAGGCACUGCAAGUGAUGCUGCAGGUCUUGCAGACGUGUGAUCAUCCAGCACCAGAUAUGUUUUGCCUAUGUGGGAGGAUUUAUAAGGACAUAUUCUUUGAUUUGGACUGUAAAGACGAUAGUAGCAGAGACAAAGCCAUUGAAUGGUAUCGUAAAGGGUUUGAGCUCCAGUCAACUCUGUAUUCUGGAAUUAACCUUGCAGUCUUGCUGAUUGUUUCAGGGGAGCAAUUUGAAACUUCCAUGGAACUGAGAAAAAUAGGAGUACGGUUAAAUAGUUUAUUGGGAAGAAAAGGGAAUCUGGAAAAAAUGAACAAUUACUGGGACGUUGGACAGUUUUUCACUGUAAGCAUGUUGGCCAGUGACGUUGGUAAAGCUGUCCAAGCAGCAGAGAGACUUUUCAAACUGAAACCACCCAUUUGGUAUUUGAAAUCCUUGCUACAAAAUCUGGUAUUAAUUCAACAUUUCAAGAAACUGACCAUAGAACAUUCUCCCAGGCAAAAAAGACUGAACUUCUGGUUGGAUAUAAUUUUUGAGGCAACCAAAGAAAAAAACAAUGGAUUAAGAUUCCCAGUAUUAGUGAUAGAGCCAACCAAAAUAUAUCAGCCUGCAUAUGUUUCAAUCAAUAAUGAAGCUGAUGAGAGGACAGUUUCCCUGUGGCAUGUGUCCCCUGCAGAAAUGAAACAAAUUCAUGAAUGGAACUUUACAGCUUCUUCUAUUAGAGGAAUAAGCAUAUCUAAAUUUGAUGAACGAUGUUGUUUUCUCUAUGUCCAUGACAACUCUGAUGACUUUCAAAUCUAUUUUUCUAUGGAGUAUCAGUGUAGUAGAUUCUGUGCUUUGGUGAAGGAGAUCUUAACUGAUGCUGUAGGAAACACCCUGGAACUUGAAGGAGAGAUUGAUGGUGAUACAUUGGAAUAUGAGUAUGACUAUGAUGAGAAUGGAGAUAGAGUUGUAUUAGGGAAAGGAACCUAUGGGAUAGUUUAUGCUGGAAGAGAUCUUAGCAAUCAAGUUCGAAUAGCCAUCAAAGAAAUACCAGAAAAAGAUAGCAGAUAUUCUCAGCCACUGCAUGAAGAAAUUGCUCUUCACAAAUAUCUAAAACACCGAAACAUUGUUCAGUAUCUUGGUUCUGUUUCUGAAGAUGGAUAUAUUAAAAUCUUCAUGGAACAAGUGCCUGGCGGAAGUCUUUCUGCACUCCUUAGAUCAAAAUGGGGACCAAUGAAAGAGCCCACCAUUAAGUUUUAUACCAAGCAGAUACUAGAAGGCUUGAAAUAUCUCCAUGAGAAUCAGAUUGUACAUAGAGACAUAAAAGGAGACAAUGUUUUAGUUAAUACAUACAGUGGAGUAGUAAAGAUUUCUGAUUUUGGAACUUCUAAACGCCUUGCGGGAGUCAAUCCAUGUACAGAAACAUUUACAGGCACUUUGCAGUACAUGGCUCCAGAGAUCAUUGAUAAGGGGCCUCGAGGGUAUGGGGCACCAGCUGAUAUUUGGUCCCUGGGGUGUACUAUCAUUGAAAUGUCAACAGGAAAGCCUCCAUUUCAUGAACUUGGGGACCCACAAGCAGCAAUGUUCAAAGUUGGGAUGUUCAAAAUUCACCCUGAAAUCCCUGAAUCACUUUCUGCUGAAGCUAGAGCUUUUAUCUUACUCUGCUUUGAACCUGAUCCAAAUAAGCGUGUUACAGCAUCUGAUUUACUUAAAGACUCAUUCUUAAAACAAAUAAACAAAGGCAAGAAAAACAGAAUUGCUUUCAAGCCUUCAGAUUAUAAUCGUAGCACAUCUCUGCCUCUGCCAGUCCAAGGAGAGCAGGCUGGCAGCAGUAGCAGUGAGCAUGGCUCUGUCUCGCCAGACUCCGAUGCGCAGUCUGACAUGUUGUUUGAAAAGGCAAAGCGUUCUUUUUCUGAAGUUCAGUCAAGGAGCCCCAUUUCCCAUUUAUUAAGUGUUCCUGAUGACAGCUCAGUUCCAGAUGAGCGAAAUUCUCUCCCUUCCCUUGAGGAAAAAGAUUCUGGCCUUUUCUUACUACGAAAGGACAGUGAACGUCGUGCAAUUCUAUAUAAGAUACUUAAGGAGGAGCAGAAUCAAGUAGCUUCUAAUCUACAAGAAUGUGUAGCGCAGAGUUCUGAAGAAUUGCAUCUUUCAGUCGCUCACAUUAAGCAGAUAAUUGGGAUUUUAAGAGAUUUCAUACGCUCCCCUGAACACAGAAUUAUGGAAUCAACUAUAUCAAAGUUGAAAAUGGAUCUUGAUUUUGACACUACUUCAAUCAAUCAGAUUCACCUAGUAUUGUUUGGAUUUCAAGAUGCAGUUAAUAAAGUAUUAAGGAAUCAUUUAAUCAGACCUCAUUGGAUGUUUGCGAUGGAUAAUAUAAUACGGCGUGCAGUUCAAGCAGCCAUCACUAUUCUUAUUCCUGAGCUUCGAGCUCAUUUUGAACCAGUAUCAGAAACUGAAGGAGUAGACAAAGAUGCAGAUGAAGUUGAAGAUAAUUACCAGCAAGCUGAACAAGGAAGACAAGAAGAAUCAGUUGCUGCUGGAGGGUGCAUGCUCAGUUCUUCUGUGUCCCCAGACACUGAACAGAAACUUAGUUUGCGAUUAAAUAAAUUAAAACAGCAAACAAACAGGUUACUGGAAAACCUAGUACAGAGGGAAAGGGAAUAUCAGACACUUCUUCAGCAAAUAUUACAGCAAAAAAUCCAAGAUUUGCAUCUCCUUCAGCUCCAGUUAAAAACUACUGAAAUUCAACCAUCAUCAUCUGCUCUUCAGCACACUGUUGAUGAAGAACUUAUCAAGUGGUUAAAACAACAAAGAGCUGAUUCAGAUGCAAUUGAUAGGUUUGUUCAAGAGGACUAUACACUCAGUGAUGUUCUAAACAGUAUCACAAAGGAUGACUUGCAACUGCUUAGACUCCGGGGCGGACUUGUCUGUCGCAUCUGGAAUGCAAUAUUAAAACACAGAAAGCAAAAUACAAUCUUGGGAAUGGAAGUUUAGCAUUUCACUUUUGCCAGAUGCUAAUGGACUAGAAGAAAAAAAAAGUACACAUUCCACAUAAGUUGUUUUAUGUGCUGAUUGCCUUGCAUGUUUUGCACAGAAAACGUUAAAAAGUUCUUUAUUUACUUUCCUGUACAUCUGGUAUUGCAUAUUAAUUUUGGGAAAUAAGAACAGAAGACCACAAGCCAGAAAGAAGUAUAGUGAAAUACACUUGAUAACAGUUUUUUUUUUCAAAUAUUAAAAGAACAAUAGCAGGAUUAAUGAAACAAACUUUAUUAUAAACUCUUUUGUAUUAUGUUGUAUAUUAUUUGUUUCUACUAUGGGUCCUCAUCAAAUUGUAAAAAUAGAAGCAUUUGAAAAAUUCAAUGCAAGUCAAGCAGACUUUUGUAGUUUAUUAUUAAAAAAACAGUCCUAAAUCCAGUUGAGUUUGAGCAUUCACAAAGUCUGUUAUAAAAUGGUAGACAAAACUUUCAGAAUUUGGGGGAGAAAAAAAUGGGGAAGAAACUGUUUAAUAUGACUAGGCAAGCAUGUAUACAAAGUCAAUUAUCUAAACUCCUCAUGGGGAAGACUGUGCAAGUUGAACCUUACAGCUGUUCUUACUAGCAGAUUAUGAUUUGCUUAAGCCAGGUAUAAAUUAUAUUUUGCUUUGAAUAUUUUGAUCAACAGGAAAGUGAAUAAGCCACACAUAUAAUGGGCCAUACUGGCAUAAGAUGUUGGUUAGUCCCUGCUUAUUAGGUCAUGUGUUCUCAAAUACUGCAAUGCCCAAACCUGCUAAAAUGAUAAAUAACUUUAAAUAAACAUUAUUUGAGGUAGGGAUGGGCAAGAAAUAAAUGUACUACCUAAUUUAAUAAUUACAUUUUAAUUUAAUACAUGAGUUCUUGAAUUGUCAGUAAAGCAACCAUCCAGUGCAGGCAUGCUCAGACAAAAUGUGAGACCUAUUAAAACUCACUCCCAUUUUGCCCGGGCAAGCUGCAGCUGGCUUGCAUAAGCCAAGCAAGAAACAAAGCCCAGUGUGAAUUUUGUCAACACUCUUGCUUUGCCCCCACAAGCUUUAUCAUGUGAUUCCUGCAAGGUAGGGAGAGGGUACAGUCCAGUUUGUAAAUCACGAUUUUAAGUUGCUCAUUGAAUAUUUUUAUUCUGUUACUAGAUACUGUUUUUUCCUAAAGAAAACGAUACUGUUAAAAAGGUAUAAGACCAUGUAGUAGAAUAGAUUGGUAGCCUUAUUGUCUUGGCCAAUUUUUUUUGCCUCCCUACUUUGUAUUUAAAAUAUUUGCAUUUUCUACUUUUUCUUUGAGUAUGCUCCAGGAUAAAUAAUCUGGUUUUUCCCACCACCUUAAAAACUACGUAUGCAACAGCAGAGAAUUACUGUACCUGAUUCCAGGAUCACUCAUACUAUGCCCAUGAUAACGAUACGUCUGUAGCUCCAUCACAAUAGGACCCUGUUAAAAUGGAAGUCUUUAAUAACUUUGAAAAUAAUGCCUCUAUUUUGCUGAUAAAAGCAGCAGUGAUAACUAAAUGUAGGCAAGCAUGCUAUUUUAACGUGAUCAUUUAGACCAGUGGCUCUUAACCUUUUGUAUCUUAAAUUACUCUCUUAAAAAAACUUAGAUCUGGCCAUGACAGAAAUAAAAAUAUUACAAAAUUUCCCCAGCACGUUUAUAUGUUUACAGCGUUCUGUUAUAUUUAAUAUUUACACUUAAAUAAAAUUUCAGGAACUUAACUUGGUCCCAAUAAACCUACUACUAUGUCCCAUUUUUAGUAUGUGUAACUGUGAUUUAUAUCAUUUGCAUCUAAGAUUCAUAGAUGCAGACUACUGUUAAGUGUUGGUUAAAUUUGUGCUAAAUUGCUGAUCACAGUUCUGUCAUUUUCUGAAUGCUUUGAAAACUCAGCAAAGAAGAAACCACGCAAACCACAUUGUAUCCUAGAGAAGGACAGAUACCUACUUACACUGAGCUUCUUAAUUUAAGAACAGAUACGCCAAGAACUGUUAUGAAAGGUUCUGUUUGCUUAUUUGGUCCACAAUAUAAAUGUUUAUUGUGAUGUUGUCAACUUGGUGAUGUCCAGGUGUAAAAAGUUGAACGUUUACGUUGCUUUGCAAGUAUUGGCAAUAGGGAAUUCUUUCACAUUGCAUUGACCCAAUCCACAUCAUCCAGCAAUUCUAGGUUCUCUAUUUCUCCCAGCUUUGCCUUCCGAUAACCCAUCUGCAUUCUUUCCCGAUGUUGCACCUAGCACCUCUUGAAAUGUAGCACAGAAUAUCUUCCUUCAUUUCACCUAUAGCAGGUGCAUACAUUCAUAAUUUGAUGUUUACUGGAUAUUCAUUACUUUAAUGAUAUGUAUGACUCUGUUCAUUUGGUUACAGUUGAGCACAUAUUCAGCUGUGUCCUUUUUGAAUACCACCACCUCUUCAUUUCUUCAUGUGGAGUUAACUUACCUAUGUCCAUAUUAUGUUUAUGAUUUUUAAAAAGUAGAAAUUGAUUUAUCAUUCAAUAAUAAACACAGCCUCAAAGAUACUGGAUCAAGCCUGCUAGGUCUAACCAA